AUACGGAGGGUGCAAGCGUUAAUCGGAAUUACUGGGCGUAAAGCGCGCGUAGGCGGAUAUUUAAGUCUCAUGUGAAAGCCCUGGGCUCAACCUGGGAACUGCAUGGGAUACUGGGUAUCUAGAAUACAGUAGAGGGUAGUGGAAUUUCAGGUGUAGCGGUGAAAUGCGUAGAGAUCUGAAGGAACAUCAGUGGCGAAGGCGACUACCUGGACUGAUAUUGACGCUGAGGUGCGAAAGCGUGGGGAGCAAACGGGAUUAGAUACCCUUGUAGUCC
rnacentral:rRNA from 1 species